CCCUGACUCUCCAGCCUGGGAGACACGUGGAGAGAUAUUUGCCCAUCUGCAUUUCCAAUGCCUCAGAACUAGACAGACAGUUCUGCUUUUGCAAAGUCCUUCUGAUUCUCAGUGCUGAGACUCUACUCUCAUGAAGGUGCCAUCAGGCUUUGUUCACAUUCCCUGCUGACAGAAAGCACCAGCAAAAAUUGGCAGAGUACAGCUUUCCUGAUGAUGAGGAAUCCUGUCAUGGGGAUAGGGGAGAUAGUGAUUGUGGCAGGGACUGGGGCUGCCUCUGGGAUCAGUAAACUUCCACUGCCCUCAGUGACAAGCACUCUCGGUGGGACCAGCCAUGCAGAAAGAGGUUUUGAAAUGGAAAAGAGAGAGAGAACCUCCUCCCUGUCACAGGUCACCAAAAUCCCAGUGAUCCUCCAGAGUAUUUAAUAUUAUAAUG